AAAUCUGAACCUGGCUCCAAUGGCCUUGGGUAAAUGGGCCGCAGUAUCCUGUACUGGUGCAAAGGUAGCAUAAUCAUUAGUCUUUUAAUUUGGGACUGGAAUGAAUGGUCCGACUGUGUAUCUAUGUCUUAUAGUAAUAUUUUGAAAUUUAUUUUUUAGUAAAAAAGCUAAAAUAAAUCCUAAAGACAAGAAGACCCUAUCAAACUUUACAAAUUCGGUUUUAUUUUCUAAAUUAAUACUUAGUUUGUUUUACUGGGGCAGUUGGUGGAUUUGGUUCUACUUUAAAAUUGUGAAUUUAAUUCUUGAUAAAUCAAAAAUUUUUUAAUAAAAAACAAGCUACUGUAGGGAUAACAGCAUAAUUUUUUUUAAAAAUUCUUAUUGUCAAAAAAGUUUGUGACCUCAAUGUUGGAUUAAAAGACCUAAUUUACGCAAAAGUUAAUUAAGGAAGUCUGUUCAACUUAUAACUUCUUCCAUGAUCUGAGUCAAAAC
rnacentral:rRNA from 1 species